rnacentral:rRNA from 1 species
GACGAACGCUGGCGGCGUGCCUAACACAUGCAAGUCGAACGGAGAUACGAUUUCGGUUGUAUCUUAGUGGCGAACGGGUGAGUAACGCGUGAACAACCUGACUCUUAGAGGGGGAUAACACUCGGAAACGGGUGCUAAUACCGCAUAAGACCACGACCCGGCAUCGGGAUGAGGUCAAAGGAGCAAUCCGCUGAGAGAGGGGUUCGCGUCCCAUUAGAUAGAUGGCGGGGUAACGGCCCACCAUGUCAACGAUGGGGAGCCGAGCUGAGAGGCUGAUCGGCAACACUGGAACUGGGACACGGUCCAGACUCCUACGGGAGGCAGCAGUGGGGAAUAUUGGGCAAUGGGCGCAAGCCUGACCCAGCAACGCCGCGUGAGGGAAGAAGGCUUUCGGGUUGUAAACCUCUGUCCUUGGUGACGAAACAAAUGACGGUAGCCAAGGAGGAAGCCCCGGCUAACUACGUGCCAGCCGCCGCGGUAACAC